UGGGGAAUAUUGCACAAUGGGGGAAACCCUGAUGCAGCGACGCCGCGUGAGCGAAGAAGGUUUUCGAAUCGUAAAGCUCUGUCCUAUGGGAAGAUAAUGACGGUACCAUAGGAGGAAGCCCCGGCUAACUACGUGCCAGCAGCCGCGGUAAUACGUAGGGGGCAAGCGUUGUCCGGAAUCACUGGGCGUAAAGGGUUCGCAGGCGGAAAUGCAAGUCAGUUGUGAAAGGCAGGGGCUCAACCUCUGUAAGCAAUUGAAACUGUAUUUCUUGGGAUGUGGAGAAGCAAGUGGAAAUCCUAGUGUAGCGGUGAAAUGCGUAGAUAUUAGGGAGAAUACCGGUGGCGAAGGCGAGUUGCUGGACACAAACUGACGCUGAGGGACGAAAGCGUGGGUAGCAAACAGG
rnacentral:rRNA from 1 species